rnacentral:rRNA from 1 species
GUCGAACGGUAACAGGAAGCAGCUUGCUGCUUUGCUGACGAGUGGCGGACGGGUGAGUAAUGUCUGGGAAACUGCCCGAUGGAGGGGGAUAACUACUGGAAACGGUAGCUAAUACCGCAUAACGUCGCAAGACCAAAGAGGGGGACCUUAGGGCCUCUUGCCAUCGGAUGUGCCCAGAUGGGAUUAGCUAGUAGGUGGGGUAAAGGCUCACCUAGGCGACGAUCCCUAGCUGGUCUGAGAGGAUGACCAGCCACACUGGAACUGAGACACGGUCCAGACUCCUACGGGAGGCAGCAGUGGGGAAUAUUGCACAAUGGGCGCAAGCCUGAUGCAGCCAUGCCGCGUGUAUGAAGAAGGCCUUCGGGUUGUAAAGUACUUUCAGCGGGGAGGAAGGGAGUAAAGUUAAUACCUUUGCUCAUUGACGUUACCCGCAGAAGAAGCACCGGCUAACUCCGUGCCAGCAGCCGCGGUAAUACGGAGGGUGCAAGCGUUAAUCGGAAUUACUGGGCGUAAAGCGCACGCAGGCGGUUUGUUAAGUCAGAUGUGAAAUCCCCGGGCUCAACCUGGGAACUGCAUCUGAUACUGGCAAGCUUGAGUCUCGUAGAGGGGGGUAGAAUUCCAGGUGUAGCGGUGAAAUGCGUAGAGAUCUGGAGGAAUACCGGUGGCGAA